rnacentral:lncRNA from 12 species
GAAGGCACAGUGAGUCACAAAGGCAUGCCAUAAUAGGAUGUUGGCUAAUUGGUGAUGCUGAACUUCCACUUGGGAAAAAGAUUAGCUAUAGAAAAUAGAAUUACCUUUGGACCCCUCAGUUCUGCAAAUUUGUAUAAAAUCUCACGGGACUGGGGUGGUUUGUCUUCAUGAUAGCUAGGAAGGAAAGGUUUGCUAGCAAAACAAAUCGAUGAAACAAAAUUGCAGGUGGCAUGUUCAGACAUCUUAGGAAAUCAUUUUUCAAGCCUUUAGCAAAGACGCUAUGUAAAUCAACAAUCAGUUGGAAUAUUUACUUAUUAAAGCAGUUGGUUUUCAACUUUCUUUUUUUAGACAGGGAAAAUUUUUAAGUCUUAGAUGGAGCAGGAAAAAAAGGGGAGUUCUGUGAGGUGAAGACGGGCUGUGGGACCCUGCAAGCUCAGAUGUCCUCUUCCAUCCUAUCCCUCUUUCACAGCCAGGGUUGGCCCCUAAAACACCUCUGCAGAGACCUGGGAUGCCAGGGAGACCAAUUUAAAAGCCAGAAAUUCAAAAGAGACCUGUUCUCAUUCAAAUAUCUUUUGCAAUUAGCCUGAACAAUCAUUUGGAGUUCUUCAAAUAAAACAGGUACGGAGGAGGGGUGGGAGACA